rnacentral:rRNA from 1 species
AACGUAGGAGACAAACGUUAUCCGGAGUUACUGGGCGUAAAGGGCGUGUAGGCGGUUUGUUAAGUCUGGCGUGAAAGCUCUCGGCUAAACCGGGAGAGGUCGUUGGAUACUGGCAGACUAGAGGACGGUAGAGGCGUGUGGAAUUCCGGGUGUAGUGGUGAAAUGCGUAGAGAUCGGAAAGAACACCAACGGCGAAAGCACUCUGCUGGGCCGACACUGACACUGAGAGACGAAAGCUAGGGGAGCAAAUGGG